rnacentral:rRNA from 1 species
CGGGUGAGUAACACGUAAAGAACCUGCCUCAUAGACUGGGACAACUAUUGGAAACGAUAGCUAAUACCGGAUAACAGUAUUUCUCGCAUGAGAGAUAUUUAAAAGUUGGUUAUGCUAACACUAUGAGAUGGCUUUGCGGUGCAUUAGCUAGUUGGUGGGGUAAAGGCCYACCAAGGCGACGAUGCAUAGCCGACCUGAGAGGGUGAUCGGCCACACUGGGACUGAGACACGGCCCAGACUCCUACGGGAGGCAGCAGUAGGGAAUCUUCCGCAAUGGGCGAAAGCCUGACGGAGCAACGCCGCGUGAGUGAAGAAGGAUUUCGGUUCGUAAAGCUCUGUUGUUAGGGAAGAAUGGAUAUGUAGUAACUAUACAUAUAAGAGACGGUACCUAACCAGAAAGCCACGGCUAACUACGUGCCAGCAGCCGCGGUAAUACGUAGGUGGCAAGCGUUGUCCGGAAUUAUUGGGCGUAAAGCGCGCGCAGGUGGUUUAAUAAGUCUGAUGUGAAAGCCCACGGCUCAACCGUGGAGGGUCAUUGGAAACUGUUAAACUUGAGUGCAGGAGAGAAAAGUGGAAUUCCUAGUGUAGCGGUGAAAUGCGUAG